CCUACGGGUGGCAGCAGUGGGGAAUAUUGCACAAUGGGGGCAACCCUGAUGCAGCGACGCCGCGUGAGUGAUGACUUAUUUCGGUAUUUAAAGCUCUAUCCGCAAGGAAGUAAAUUACGGUACCUGACUCAUAAGCCCCGGCUAACUACGUGCCAGCAGCCGCGGUAAUACGUAGGGGGCAAGCGUUAUCCGGAUUUACUGGGUGUAAAGGGAGCGUAGGCGGCAAGGUAAGCCAGAAGUGAAAGCCCGCGGCUCAACCGCGGGACUGCUUUUGGAACUAUCUAGCUGGAUUGCAGGUGAGGUAAGUGGAAUUCCUAGUGUAGCGGUGAAAUGCUUAGAUAUUAGGAGGAACACCAGUGGCGAAGGCGGCCUACUGGACUGUAAAUGACGCUGAGGCUCGAAAGUGUGGGGAGCAAACAGGAUUAGAUACCCUUGUAGUC
rnacentral:rRNA from 1 species